rnacentral:ncRNA from 1 species
UUAAAAGCAAUGAAGAGGAAUAGUAUAUAUUUAUGAACUUUUAGAGAAGAGUUGGUUGGUGAAAAACUUUAAGGAACUAAAUAUAGAACCAGCCUUGGAGCUAUGGACUGAAAAUUAAAGUAAGUUUUAUCGGAAAUCCACCGUUAUCAUAGGAUAUAAUGUUAUAAGACAUUAUUUGAGUGUAGAAGAAAUUCUAAAAAUAGGUGGUAACACGGAUAAAAAUAUUCGCCCUAAGU